rnacentral:rRNA from 1 species
UACGUAGGGUGCAAGCGUUGUCCGGAAUUAUUGGGCGUAAAGAGCGUGUAGGCGGCUUGUUAAGUCUUGCGUGAAAUCUCGGGGCUCAACCCCGAGCGGUCGUGAGAAACUGGCAGGCUAGAGUGCGGGAGAGGAGAGUGGAAUUCCUGGUGUAGCGGUGAAAUGCGCAGAUAUCAGGAAGAACACCCGUGGCGAAGGCGGCUCUCUGGAACGCAACUGACGCUGAGACGCGAAAGCGUGGGGAGCAAACAGG